UGGGGGAUAUUGCACAAUGGGCGAAAGCCUGAUGCAGCGACGCCGCGUGGGGGAUGAAGGCCUUCGGGUUGUAAACUUCUUUUGCUCUUAACAAGGCAUGCCUUUGGGGUGUGUUGAGUGUAGGGGUUGAUUAGCGCCGGCUAACUACGUGCCAGCAGCAGCGGUAAUACGUAGGGCGCGAGCGUUGUCCGGAAUUAUUGGGCGUAAAGGGCUUGUAGGUGGCUGGUUGCGUCUGUCGUGAAAGCUCAUGGCUUAACUGUGGGUUUGCGGUGGGUACGGGCUGGCUUGAGUGCAGUAGGGGAGGCUGGAAUUCCUGGUGUAGCGGUGGAAUGCGCAGAUAGCAGGAGGAAUACCGGUGGCGAAGGCGGGUCUCUGGGCUGUUACUGACGCUGAGGAGCGAAAGCGUGGGGAGCGAACAGG
rnacentral:rRNA from 1 species